UACGAGGGGGGCAAGCGUUGUUCGGAAUUAUUGGGCGUAAAGGGCGCGUAGGCGGCCUUCUAAGUCGAACGUGAAAUCCCUGGGCUCAACCCAGGAACUGCGUCCGAUACUGGAAGGCUUGAAUCCGGGAGAGGGAUGCGGAAUUCCAGGUGUAGCGGUGAAAUGCGUAGAUAUCUGGAGGAACACCGGUGGCGAAGGCGGCAUCCUGGACCGGUAUUGACGCUGAGGCGCGAAAGCCAGGGGAGCAAACGGG
rnacentral:rRNA from 1 species